rnacentral:rRNA from 1 species
AGCGAACGCUGGCGGCAGGCCUAACACAUGCAAGUCGAACGAACUCUUCGGAUUUAGUGGCGGACGGGUGAGUAACACGUGGGAACGUUCCUUUUGGUUCGGAAUAACUCAGGGAAACUUGUGCUAAUACCGAAUGUGCCCUUCGGGGGAAAGAUUUAUCGCCAUUAGAGCGGCCCGCGUCUGAUUAGCUAGUUGGUGAGGUAACGGCUCACCAAGGCGACGAUCAGUAGCUGGUCUGAGAGGAUGACCAGCCACACUGGGACUGAGACACGGCCCAGACUCCUACGGGAGGCAGCAGUGGGGAAUCUUGCGCAAUGGGCGAAAGCCUGACGCAGCCAUGCCGCGUGAAUGAUGAAGGUCUUAGGAUUGUAAAAUUCUUUCACCGGGGACGAUAAUGACGGUACCAGGAGAAGAAGCCCCGGCUAACUUCGUG